rnacentral:sRNA from 1 species
GCGGGAACCUUGUGAAUAAAAUUUCAUACCCGAUACUGAGUUAAUUAUAAAUUGAUGGAAGCCUGUACGACCAAGUUGCCAGCAAAGAUUACCCGACGUCCCUUAGACGGUAAGCACACGAUCCUCCUAGUUGUUGUUUUUAUCCUUUUGCAGUUGUAUCCUUGGGAAGCAACUUCCCAGUGGAAUGCUUUACCUUCUCAUUUCACCUAAUGACCUAUUUGAAUAGAAUUCAGAGCAAUUAAUUCCAAAUUUUGUAUUUUCAUACAUAUAUGUACGUAUAUAUUUGACUAAACUGUAGAAUAAUAA